AAACUAAGGCAGGCGAUCGCGUCCGCCAGCCGGCGGAUGAGGAAAGUCCGAACUCCACAGGGCAGGGCGCCUCAUAACAUGAGGGAGGUGUGAGCCUACGGAAAGUGCCACAGAAAACAUACCGUCCCGCUAAAGCGGGACAAGGGUGAAAAGGUGGGGUAAGAGCCCACCGGUUCUCUGGUAACAGAGAAUGCCUGGUAAACCCCGCCCGGAGCAAGACCAAAUAAGAGAAGAGAAGUUGCCCGCUUCGUUUGAUUCUCGGGUAGGUCGCUUGAGGUUCUGAGUGAUCAGGAUCCCAGAGAAAUGAUCGUCCACGACAGAAUUCGGCUUAUCGCUUUGGUUUGGAU
rnacentral:RNase_P_RNA from 1 species